rnacentral:tRNA from 1 species
GGUCCCGUGGUGUAACGGUUAGCAUCCUGACUCUGAAUCUUGCGACGGGAGUUCGAAUUUUCCCAGGUCCU